CCAGACUCCUACGGGAGGCAGCAGUGAGGAAUAUUGGUCAAUGGGCGAGAGCCUGAACCAGCCAAGUCGCGUGAGGGAUGACUGCCCUAUGGGUUGUAAACCUCUUUUGUAUGGGGGGAAUAAGCUUUACGAGUAGAGUGAUGACAGUACCAUACGAAUAAGCAUCGGCUAACUCCGUGCCAGCAGCCGCGGUAAUACGGAGGAUGCGAGCGUUAUCCGGAUUUAUUGGGUUUAAAGGGUGCGUAGGCGGCAUUAUAAGUUAGUGGUAAAAUAUUGGGGCUUCACCUCACUACGCCAUUAAUACUGUAGAGCUAGAGAACAGACGAGGUAGGCGGAAUAAGUUAAGUAGCGGUGAAAUGCAUAGAUAUAACUUAGAACACCGAUAGCGAAGGCAGCUUACCAGACUGAGUCUGACGCUGAUGCACGAGAGCAUGGGUAGCGAACAGGAUUAGAUACCCGAGUA
rnacentral:rRNA from 1 species